AGCCUCGUGACAUGUUGAAAAAAGUGAAUUUCGUCUAGGGUCACGUAACUCUUCCCUUCACCUCUCCCUCCUACCUCUUCCUCCUUCCUCCCUUCUUAUCAUCAUUUGUUAUUUUCCCCACCCCUCUCUGCCUGUCUUCACCCAGCUUGCUUUGAAGGGAGGAAAUCUGCACUUUUGCAAAAGCAGCAGCAGCAGCAGCAGCAGGCCGGGGAUGAAGUGAUUCACUGUAUGGAGAGAGAGAGAGAGAGAGAGAGAGAGAGAGAGAGAGAGAGAGAGAGAGAGAGAGAGAGAGAGAGAGUAGUUUACACCUCUGCACUGUUUCCUUUCUCAUCAGUUUUUCUGUUGUUGGCGUCUUGAUCUGAUUUGUGUCGUCUGUUUUCCUCCUAUCUGUCUGUCUGUCUGCUUCCUCCACCUGUUACUGUGAUGGAUCUCAGGACUGUUAUGAUCAUCUCAACUCUUUUGCUCAUGGCUGCUGAAUCAGCCCAAGCAACACAUAGUCCCACCAACGACAAUGGUUCGCCUACCCUCCCUUCUUCUUGGACCGAGAGCACCAUUACGGUCUGCCAGUGCUCCAGCAUUGCUCCACCUGCCACUGAUACCCCCAAACGCUCUUCACCUGGCCUGGGCCUCCUCACAAUCACAUGGACGGUGGAGUGUGUAGGAAACGUUAUCCUAACCCUAAACCUCUCUGAUCCCUCCAGCUCCUCCACACCUGUGUGUUACAAUGACACGAAGAGCUUGAUUCUUUUGAGAGAUGUGUGCCAGAACAAGAAAGGUUGUCAAGGCACACCAAGCUGGAAUUCAAGCAACAGCAAGCAGCACUGUUCUUACUUCACAGAGAGUGGAGCAGUGGACAUGGUACACCAUAACACACUGAGUGUGCACUGCGCAGUCCUCCCAGAUGUACAGGGUCAGCUGCAGGCCUACAAAGUUGUGUCAGCUCUGCUCUGCUCGGUUCUACUGGUCCUGUUACUGAUCCGCUUUACCAGACCCACCGUCAAAGCCCUGCAGAAGAGAUUAUCAGACAGGAGGCAGAAUCGCUGGAUAGGACCUACACAGAGUCACAGUGUGUCUUACCAUCGAGGGAAAACUGCAGUUAAAAACAAUGAUGGAGAGAAGAGACACUCCUACCCUGCUCUGGAGCGACUGGCAGUCAGUGACAGCAGAGAGCCUUCAUCCAACAGGAACAGUGACUACAACUUCUGA
rnacentral:lncRNA from 1 species